rnacentral:rRNA from 1 species
UACGUAGGGUGCGAGCGUUGUCCGGAAUUACUGGGCGUAAAGAGCUCGUAGGUGGUUUGUCGCGUUGUCCGUGAAAACUCACAACUCAAUUGUGGGCGUGCGGGCGAUACGGGCAGACUGGAGUACUGCAGGGGAGACUGGAAUUCCUGGUGUAGCGGUGGAAUGCGCAGAUAUCAGGAAGAACACCGGUGGCGAAGGCGGCAUCCUGGACCGGCAUUGACGCUGAGUGAGCGAAAGCCAGGGGAGCAAACGGG